CAGCUGAAGCUUCAGUAAAUACCACUUCAUUGCUAAAGGAUGCUGAAACUCAAACUGACAUCACAGGCAGUGUUCUGAAGAGUUUUGAAGCUGAUAACCAGGUCCUACGCACCGAGUUACAGGAGGUGAAGGGCUCUCUGGACACACUUCGGCUGUCGAAAGCUUCUUUGGAGCAUGACAACACCCGUGUGCAAUUUUACACGGGCCUACCAAGCUUCACAGUUCUGAUUUCACUGUUCACACUUGUCGAAAGUAGUGUGCCACGCAGCCCAAACAAUGCUCUUGCGAAAUUCCAAGAAUUUGUACUCACACUAAUGAGGCUGCGAUUGGGAGUGGCCUUGCAGGACCUGGCGUCCAUUGAAGAAGCAUUGACGGGGGUCUUCAAUGACCGUAAUUUCUGCCUCUGAAACUUGUACGAACUCUGAACGAAGUUUCAGACACCGAUGCAGUAAGGACAAAAGCAGGAAAUAAAGUUCAUUUUUCUACCUGAA